rnacentral:rRNA from 1 species
AUUGAACGCUGGCGGCAUGCUUUACACAUGCAAGUCGAACGAUAACAGGUUAAGCUGACGAGUGGCGAACGGGUGAGUAAUGCAUCGGAACGUGCCCGAUCGUGGGGGAUAACGCAGCGAAAGCUGCGCUAAUACCGCAUACGAUCUGAGGAUGAAAGCGGGGGACCGUAAGGCCUCGCGCGAUCGGAGCGGCCGAUGUCAGAUAGGGUAGUUGGUGGGGUAAAGGCCCACCAAGCCGACGAUCUGUAGCUGGUCUGAGAGGACGACCAGCCACACUGGGACUGAGACACGGCCCAGACUCCUACGGGAGGCAGCAGUGGGGAAUUUUGGACAAUGGGCGAAAGCCUGAUCCAGCAAUGCCGCGUGCAGGAAGAAGGCCCUCGGGUUGUAAACUGCUUUUGUACGGAGCGAAAAGGUCCUUUCUAAUACAAGGGGCUCAUGACGGUACCGUAAGAAUAAGCACCGGCUAACUACGUGCCAGCCGCCGCGGUAACAC